UACGUAGGGGGCAAGCGUUGUCCGGAAUCAUUGGGCGUAAAGCGCGCGUAGGCGGCCCGGUAAGUCCGCUGUAAAAGUCCAGGGCUCAACCCUGGAAAGCCGGUGGAUACUGUCGGGCUAGAGUCCGGAAGAGGCGAGUGGAAUUCCUGGUGUAGCGGUGGAAUGCGCAGAUAUCAGGAGGAACACCAAUUGCGAAGGCAGCUCGCUGGGACGUAACUGACGCUGAGACGCGAAAGCGUGGGGAGCAAACAGG
rnacentral:rRNA from 1 species